rnacentral:lncRNA from 1 species
GAGUACUAUUCAGAUAUUAAAAACAAUGACUUCAUGAAAUUCUUAGGCAAAUGGAUGGAAUUUGAGAAUAUCAUCCUGAGUGAGGUGACUCAGUCACAAAGGAACAAACAUGGUAUGUACUCACUGAUAAGAGGAUUUUAGUCCAAAAGUUCGGAAUACUCAAGAUUCAAUUCACAGACGAUAUGAAGCCUAAGAAGAAGGAAGACCAAAGUGUGGAUGCUUCAGUGCUUACUAGAAGGGUGAACAAAAUACUCACAGGAGGAAAUAUGGAGACAAAGUGUGGAGUAGAGACUGAAAGAAAGGCCAUCCAGUGACUGCCCCACCUGGGGAUCCAUCCCAUAUACAGCCACCAAACCUAGACAUUAGGGUGUAUGCCAAGAAGUGCUUGCUGACAGGAGCCUGAUAUAGCUGUCUCCCAAGAGGUUCUGCCAGAGCCUGACAAAUAGAGAGAAGGAAGCUUGCAGCCAACCAUUGUACUGAGCUCAGGGUUCCCCGAUGGAGGAGUUGGAGAAGGGUCUGAAGGAGCUGAGGGGGUUUGCAGCCCCAUGGAGGGAGCAACAGUGUCAACAGGUCAGACCCCCCAGCUCCCAGGGACUGGACCACCAACCAAACAAUACACAUGGAUUGACCCAUGGCACUGGCCACAUAUGUGGCAGAAGAUGGCCUUGUUGGUCAGUGAGGGGAGAGGCCCUCGGGCCUGAGGGUAUUUGAUGCCCCAGUGUAGGGGAAAUGCCAGGAGGAGAGAAUGGGAGUGGGUAGGUGGGGGAGCACCCUCAUAGAGGCUAGAGGAGGGGGCAUAGCAUAGGGAGAUUCUAAAGGGGAGACCUGGAAAGGGAAAAAGAUUUAAAAAUGUAAAUAAGGAAAAUAUCCACAAAAAAAAUGGGUCACAUCUUCUUUUCAAACUUUCACAUGGAUAUUAAUAAUAUCUAACCUUACUAUAACACCCUGACAAAGAUUUAAAUUUUAUUUUAAAGAUAUUUUAGGGACUAAGGAGAUGAGUAAAUAGAUCACUUGCAGUACCAGUAUGAAGACCUGAGUUCAGGUCCACAGAACCCACAUAAAGCAGCAGAAGGAGCUUCGAUGCAGGAAUCUAUGCCACCAUCAGCUGG